rnacentral:rRNA from 1 species
ACAUGGGCGAAAGCUCAUCCAGCUUAUCCGCGUGCAGGACGAAGGCCUUCGGGUUGUAAACUGCUUUUGUACGGAACGAAAAAGUUUCAGCUAAUACCUGGGACCCAUGACGGUACCGUAAGAAUAAGCACCGGCUAACUACGCGCCAGCAGCCGCGGUAAUACGUAGGGUGCGAGCGUUAAUCGGAAUUACUGGGCGUAAAGCGUGCGCAGGCGGUCUUGUAAGACAGAUGUGAAAUCCCCGGGCUCAACCUGGGAACUGCAUUUGUGACUGCAAGGCUAGAGUGCGGCAGAGGGGGAUGGAAUUCCGCGUGUAGCAGUGAAAUGCGUAGAUAUGCC